GCACAGUCUCUUGUCCUUUGCAGGCCACUCCCUACCAGCAGGGAAGAAGCUGCAGUCCCAGCGCCUCACCACGAGCACUGCCACCUUACCCUGCAGAUGUACUGGUUCCGCUCUCCUGGAGAAAAGCUAACAACUCAGCUGAUGUUCUUGCAAGUAAGGCUGACACUGCAUCCUGAAGAAUGUAAAGCAUACGGCAAUUAACAUAAUAUACUUGAAAAAAUGACUUAAAAACUCAGCAGAUGGGAAUUUACACUUCUAUCUGUAAAGACGACUCAACUCUCCUGCUGAAAACAAAUAUGAAAGCUGAAUAAAAUAGAACCCAAAACAAGCAAAACCUCUCAGAUGUUUUAAAGCAAUGAAGAGCAACAAAGGCAAUCAGGACUAGAGGGCCAAGAUCCCAGGUAGAACAGAAAUAUAAUAAGGUGAGCCAUGGCCACUCUUUUCCCUUAGCGUAUUUGUCAAUUCUAGUGGUGAGGUACAUGGGCUAAACAGACUGUGGCUGCCUAGAACAGUGGCAGUGUCAGUAGGAUAUGAAGACUAAAAUUGAGUUCAGGACUACCAAGGCAGUCAACUCACAAGAGGUUAGAGAAAAUGAACUGUAAAGUGAGCUCAAUAUUCUACAUGAUAUUCCUGUCAUGGCAUUUGCCAUUCCUAAGCUGCCUAUAUGCAGAGCAAGAAGCUGAGAAACAAAGCAAAAAAAAAAAAAAAAAAAAAAAAACAGCUGCUAUCAGGCUAAAAUAGUAAGCAGAUAUUUCCAUUGUCCCAUUCAGUCUUAUGGAGAGUAAAACUGGAAUUCACAUCCCCACAUGAUUCAGGUAAGCUACCCAUAUUGUCAUUUGCCUUUCAGAAGAAUAGAAAAUCCUCUCUGGAGGAAGAUAUCAGUUAUUCUCAUACGUAACAUCCAGUAUUUCAUUAGGAACUAAAGAGUGAAAGUCAAGAAAAACAAUAGCUAAAUAAGGCAAACCCACAGAUGAUCCAUACACUAAAGGCAUUGAGAGAAAAAUUUAAGUUUUUAUGAAUAAUAUGCUAAAAUAACUGAAUGAAAUGAUAAAGAAUUUCAGUGGUAUAAACAAAAAGAAAAUCACAUUAGCAUAUCAGAGUGAAACUGCUGAAAAAUCAAAGAAAAAGAAGAAUCUUACAAGCAGUAAAAGGAAUGAUGCUCAGAGAAUACUACAAACACCUCUACG
rnacentral:lncRNA from 10 species